rnacentral:misc_RNA from 1 species
GAUGAAGAACGCAGUGAAAUGCGAUAAGUAAUGUGAAUUGCAGAAUUAAGUGAAUCAUCGAAUCUUUGAACGCACAUUGCGCCCGCCAGUAUUCUGGCGGGCAUGCCUGUCUGAGCGUCAUUUCAACCCUCAUGCCCCUAGGGCGUGGUGUUGGGGAUCGGCCAAAGCCCGCGAGGGACGGCCGGCCCCUAAAUCUAGUGGCGGACCCGUCGUGGCCUCCUCUGCGAAGUAGUGAUAUUCCGCAUCGGAGAGCGAUGAGCCCCUGCCGUUAAACCCCCAACUUUCCAAGGUUGACCUCAGAUCAGGUAGGAAUACCCGCUGAACUUAAGCAUAUCAAUAAGCGGAGGA